CUGGUUCUCAUUAUAUUGGGCCUUUGGGCCCAUUUUUCGCCACCUGGAUCUGCUGGCACAAAGAGAUUGAGCUUUGGCCCGUUUGCAUUUUGAAAGCAUGUAUACACAUGCGCAUAUGGUGUAUACGAACGUAUACGGUCCAUUUAUGGACUUUCUCGAAUCUGUAAUUAAUUCUCGCCCCUAUAAUUUCUCCCUUUUCACUUCGAAGAAGAUGAUGCUUUUGAAGAGAUUCGACUCGAUGCGAAGAUGGAGUCCAAUGGACUCGGGUGGUGUCACAUGAAGUAAAAUAAAAUAAAUUAGUGAGGGGGCCAUGUUUAGAUGAAAUAAAUAUAUUUGAUGCAUGCCAUAUUUUGGUAAAUUAAUUAGUAUAAAUUAUAGGAACCACAUAUUAUAAGUACUAAAUAACAUCCUAUCCCUUCUAGUUUUCUAUUUACCAAAAAUCCCUUAAAAAUGAUGUUUGCGGGAUACAUAGAGUUGUGCACGGGAUACAUUAGGUUUAAUACAUCCCACAUAGCGGGAUACAUAGCGUUGUGCACGGGAUACAUUAGGUUUGAUACAUUCCACAUAGCGGGAUACAUAGCGUUGUGCACGGGAUACAUUAGGUUUGAUACAUUCCACAUAGCGGGAUACAUAGCGUUGUGCACGGGAUACAUUAGGUUUGAUACAUUCCACAUAGCGGGAUACAUAGCGUUGUGCACGGGAUACAUUAGGUUUGAUACAUUCCACAUAGCGGGAUACAUAGCGUUGUGCACGGGAUACAUUAGGUUUGAUACAUUCCACAUAGCGGGAUACAUAGCGUUGUGCACGGGAUACAUUAGGUUUGAUACAUUCCACAUAGCGGGAUACAUAGCGUUGUGCACGGGAUACAUAGGUAAAUAAGGGAUUUUUGAAAAUUUUGAAAUAAGUAGGGAUAAAUGGAUAUUAAGGUAAGGAAAGGAGUGUAGUUAAGUAAUUUGUCCAAUUAAUUAUUAGAACACCUAUUCAAAACACCUAGUUGGAGAAAAGGCUAUCAAUAGCUUAUCUCAAGCCGACAACAAUUUAAUUUGAAAGCAAUAAAACACAUACAUAUGAAGAAUUGAUCUUAAUCCUACGACAGUAAGCAAUUAGGCAAUUAAGUCACUACAGGAGCUUAAGUAUUUUAACAAAAUAAUAAUAAUAAUAAAUAAAUAAAUAAAUUAAAUAAAAUAAAAAAUCAAACAAAGCAUAGCCUAGAUGAAGUGAGUCUACCAGAAAAGGAAACCAAUUCUUGCAAUAGUGAAGUAGAAGUAAUCCAAUGGGAUGCUCGACUCAAAACGAAUAAUAAAGAGAAAAUGAGCAAAUCAGUUUUCAUACUACCAGCUAGCUAUCGUACUGAGAGCAAAAGCCACAAAUAUAAAGAGUCAUUCGAUACACAUUGAUGAGAAUGUCCUAACACAUGAAUACGGUUGAGAAUAGACACAUGACAACUUCAAAAAAAAAUAAAAAAAUAAAACUACCAUAAAAAAAUCUCGUAGAGCUAACACAAAUAAACAAGUGCUAAGACCUCAAACAAAGCUUGAUCACACUAUAAUAUAAAGGAGAAGCUAAAUUCAAGGGAAGGGAGAAAACAAGCUACCUAAAUACCCAUUCCUGGAGUUCUAAACAGAGGCUUAAACUAGCAAACUAACAAAUCUUUCGAUCUGCCAUAACCAAGGAAUUCCAAUGCUUUCUUAACUCAUGAGUCGAAAUAAUGGCGAAAUAAGAAAAUUCCAACAAUGAGAAUAUGAACUCGGGAGGAGGGAAACAUCAAACUUUCAACGAAAAUGGAAACAAACAACAACAACAUGGACUAGUGAACAAGAUUCAUCACUGAUUUGCAGGUAACAACGAGUCAAAAAUGAUCCCAGACAAUAACGUGUACUCAACUUCGCAUAGCCAAAACUCCAACAACAACACAUUAAGAGUAAAAAGAAGUUUGAACCGAAAAAUGAGUAUUACCUGUCGAGAUGCAGCGAAAUGGGACAGCUAACAAGCUCAAUUUUGACUUCCACCACACGAACCCAAAGCUCGAACAACACACCAAGAGAACCCAAAGGAAACCCGAAUAAUAAGCUCUCCGAAACUCUUGAACUAGAGAGUCUUUGAAGAACUUUUCCGAAUGUAAAAUUGACUAUUCCCAAACCUUGGUAAGCUAUAUUUCGUGGGCAAUUUCUGGCCAACCUAUAUCUCUUUAAAAAAAUUUCCUCUCAAUAAUUCUCUUGACACCCAAACUUCCGACUUCAAAAUAAAAGAAAAAAAAGGCCCCCCUACAAAUGAACGGAAGAGAUUAUUAAAUAGGGGAUAUUUAGGGUAGAUUUUUGGGGGGAAUUCGGGUGAAAACUUUGCCAUUCAAAAUUUGAAAUCAAAAUUCUUUCACCAUUGAAGUGAGGCAUACUUUUUCUGAAAUUUUCGCCCUAUUCCGAAAGAGGAAAGGGGACAGCCGCGUGCCUGCUGCCUGCUGUACGAUUUUCUGGGCUGCUAGCUCAUUUUUUGGUCAUUUUCUGCGUGAAGAAAAAGGGAGAAACGUACAGGGGUCUCUUUGGGGUGUAUGUUGUCGGUUGUUUUUGUACUAUGUUGCUGGAAAUUUGGAUUGUCGGUAAUGGGCUGGGUUAUUGGAGAAUGGGAAUUGAUGAGCUGUUGAUGUUGCCGUAAGUAUUAAUUAUAUGGGGUGGGUCUCUUUUUUGAAUUGUUGCUGUACAUAAUGUUGGUAUUGUUGUUGUAUUGAAUUGGAAAUAUAGAUGGGCCAGGGGUAAUUGGUUUUGUUAUAUGUGUGUAAUGUUGGGUGGGUUGGGAAUGGAAUUGGGCUGAAAAUUAUUGAGAAAAUAGCCCAAAACUUGGUCUCAAAAUGGAUGUAAGGUGGGUAAGGAAAUAUAAUUAGAAGCAAUUGAAGUUAAAAACUUAGCCAAUUUGAAUUUAAUUGAUGAACUUGGCCAAAAUUUAAAUAAGAUGAAUUAGUACAAAUUAAUUAAUGAGCUUUUUAAUUUUAACAAAAUAAAAUAAUCAACUUAAUUAUAAACUAAACUAUUUGAAAUAUAAACUACUAAAGUAAUUAGCCAAAUAUUUGAGUAGAACUAAAAUCUUUUUGAGGUGAUUUUUGAAUAUCCAUAAAAUGUACUAGUUAUGUGUGUAAUUAUAUAAAAGUUAUAUAUUAUUUAAAACUCACAAAAGUAGCAAAUCUAUUUAAAAUAACUUGCAAACUAUAUUAUAUAUAUAUAUAUAUAUAUAUAAUUAUUUUUAAAAUUUUAUAAAGCUAAUUAUUCUAUCGUUUGAAAUUGAAGAAGCUCUAUGAUUAAUUUAUAAUGUAGAGGUCCAAUAUUGGGUGUCAACAACUGUCCCUCGUUUGGCUUGGAUUGAUGAAAGAAAUUCGAGGCAAAUGAAAUUGACAAAUCCAAUUUUGGCCGACCACAUCCUUAUUGAAAAAAGGAUUUUGGUACGGACUUUAGGAAUUAUGGCCGAUCCCCAGAAAUGGGUUUCCUACAUAUCUCAGGCUUAUAUGAGAAUUUAGGCCAUUUGUAGUUCGACGCGCUUAAUUUAACGCAUAAUUUUAGAAGAAUUCCAAAGUCAUCCCGAUACCGAAUUAUGGAGGGAUUGGAAUGCUCGAGAAUAAGAUUUAAGAGCGAAUGUUGGAAUACAACCGAGUUUUCAAUCAUUGAUUCCGCCUACAUAUCCCUCAACUUAGGGAAUCAGGCUGCUUGUAGUUCGACUCAAUCGGUUGAGAAGGAAAUCUAUUAUGCGAGAUAACCUUUGGUUCUGGAGGAGUGACAAAAUGAAUCGAGUAUGAAUAAGAGGCUUGCAACCUCUUAACUAUGAAUGCGGCGCACUUCACACCCACAAUUAAGAACUUACACAGACAUGAUUUCCAAAGCUCUUGGCGCAUCGUCACACAGAUUGGAAAGUUGCUUCCGGUAGAGACCAAAAAUUUUCGAAUGCGAAACUGAAACCGACAAACCUAAAGAUAAACCCACAUGCCUUCUGAUAGGGGUGUGGUUUGAUUGUGGUGGAAGUCGCUCCUCUGCUCGCGUCCUAAGAGCUUGGCACUUCUCUUUGGACUAUGUCCCAGUUCGCUGCUAAGAAAAAGUUCCACGUUGUGCUGCAUCCUUUUUGAUGUCGUCCNNNNNNNNNNNNNNNNNNNNNNNNNNNNNNNNNNNNNNNNNNNNNNNNNNNNNNNNNNNNNNNNNNNNNNNNNNNNNNNNNNNNNNNNNNNNNNNNNNNNNNNNNNNNNNNNNNNNNNNNNNNNNNNNNNNNNNNNNNNNNNNNNNNNNNNNNNNNNNNNNNNNNNNNNNNNNNNNNNNNNNNNNNNNNNNNNNNNNNNNNNNNNNNNNNNNNNNNNNNNNNNNNNNNNNNNNNNNNNCCUUUUUGAUGUCGUCCGCACCUGUGGUUUGUUUUGAGAAUUCAUCCUCUUGAGAUGCUCUCGAAAAAGACUGAGACAAAACUCAUUAGCAUAAAAUGCAAUUCAAAUAGGGAGAUAGUAUCUGUUACCGCGUCGACACUUAAUUUUUCUCCUUGAACAUCUGACCUCAACUUCAUCGGGUUGGAGUAAAGCAAAUAAAGCUUGUGUCUCAUAUAUGCAAUAUAAUCUUCAAUGUACUCUUCCUUUGUUGUCAUUUUGUAAAGAAAAAAUGAUGCAGUCGAUGUUGAUCUUCUUGUGAUGGGUAAAUCUUUCUCUUGCAAUGCAUAACUUCUUUUCCGCGAUGCCUGAAUCCUUCUCUUGCUAUGCAUGAAUCUCUUUCCUGCGAUGCAUGACUUUUUCUUUUGGUAUGCAUGAUUUCUUCUUCUUGCUAUGCAUAAAUAUCUUUCCCGCGAUGUAUGAUUUCUUUUCUGCGAUGCAUGAAUCCUUCUCCUGCUAUUCAUGAGUCUUCUCUUGCUAUGCCUGAAUCUUUUCUUGCGAUGCAUGACUAUCUUUCUCGUGAUGCAUGAAUCUUUUUCCCGCGAUGCAUGAAUCUUCUCUUCUAAUGUAUGAAUCUUCUCUUGCAAUGCAUGAAUCUCUUUUCUUGCGAUGCAUGAAUCCUUUUCCCGCGAUGCAUGAAUCUUCUCUCCCGCGAUGCAUGAAUUUUUCCUCCGCAAUGCAUGACUUUCUUUCCCACAUGCAUGGAUUUUUCCCACGAUGCAUGACUUCUUUUUCGCGAUGCAUGACUCUUCUCUUGCUAUGUAUGAUUUCCUUCUCUUGCAAGGCAUGACUCUUCUUUUUCUAUACAUGAAUCUCUUUCCCGCGAUGCAUAACUUCUCUUUCUAUGCGUAAAUCUCUUUCCCGCGAAGCAUGACUUCUCUUUCUUGCGAUGCAUGGCCUCUUUUUCUUGCUAUGCAUGGAUCUUUGAUGAUGCCUUAUUGAUACCAAACGAAGAUGAUGCUUCACCCAGCAACAUAUGUGAUCUUCUAGGUAUCUCUUGGACAGCGGUAUCGUCUCAAUCGACAAUAUAAAUAAAAUGACCCUUGGAGUAGUGGUAUCAUCUCAUUUGACAAUAUAAAUAAAAAUGACCCUCGGAGUAGUGGUAUCAUCUCAUCUCAUUCGACAAUAUAAAUAAAAAUGACCAUCGGAGUAGUGGUAUCAUCUUAUUUGACAAUACGAUAUAAAUGACUCUCCGGGUAAGAAUAUUAUCAUAUCUGAUAAUAUAAUGCAGAUAAAAGUUUUUCCAGGUAUCUCUAGUUGCUGGAAAAUAAUAAUAAUACUGAUCUCUUUGCGGCUUUCGUUCGUUCCAUCUUUGAACAUAGUUAUACGUUCAUUAUGGACUUCGCCUUGUUGGGAAUUGAAUGAAAUAAUGUUAUUCAUAUUCCAAAAUCUUUGAUAUAUGCAGCAUCAGAUAUUUCCUGCACCUACAGAAAAACUAUCAAUUUUGGGGAGCUCUUUGCCCCUUUGACUUCUCCAUAUUCAUUGAAUGGUGGAAUAUGUUGAUCUUGAGGCAAGCUUAUAGACCUGCGUCCACAGAAAAAUUGUUAGUUUAAAGAAUGAACUGAUCUGUGUCGAUCUCUUUGGUUGUUUGCUCCUUAUCUUGCUAUCUCCGGUUGAUUUCUCCGAUCCCCCGCUUCUUGAUAGUUAAGACAAAACAUUUUUGUGCAAAAAUAAUUGAGACAUGGAGGAAAAGUUUUUAAGGAAAAUAGAUUUUUAAAAGUAAUGUUUGGAAAAAUUCACUGCCAAGUGUCAUGUCACGUCAAGUUUAAUGAACUCUAUUUAGAGGUGAUGUCUCGUGAUCUAUCUGAUUACUUGUUGGGAAGUAUUCAAAGUUGUUCUAAACUGCCGAUAAACCUUGUGGAAAUUUUUAGGCCAUCCUCAAAAUUUCUGCCCCAAUUAACUGUCUUGGUGUAUCUUUAACCGUUGGUGAUCAAAUCACAGAAUUUUUGAAAUCCUUUCAAAAUUCUGUACCGGUUGCAAAUUUCAAAGUAACCUCAGUCUCGAAUUUGUUGGAGAGAUGUUCUUGAGAAUUUUUGAGUCCCUCUCAAAAAUUCUGUCCCAAUUUCUAUUGUAAUAGAAAUCUUACGGGAGACAUGACCGAGCCCUUGUGGCGCCUACGUAUCCCGUUGAGGCAGGAAUCAGGUCAAAUGUAGUUCCCCCUCAAGGAUUAUCAAAGAUAAGAAAAAUUACAAAGAAACUCGACCGAGGCCGACAUAGGUCGCCUACGUAUCUCAUUCUUGAGAAUUCAGGUCAAACAUAGUUCAAAUACAAAGAAAUAUUAGAAGGAGAUAAAGGAGUGACCGAGGCCGACAUAGGCCGCCUACGUAUCACAUUCUUGAGAAUUCAGGUCAGACAUAGUUCAUUUACAAGAGGGAUAAAAUUCUAAACAUAGACGAUUAUGAGCAAAUAGAACGAUUACAAGGAAAUGACAGAAAUAUAGACUGAAACUUCACACAUAAUAUCUUUUGACAGCAUCUGAGUUGAUCGGUUUUGGCCAUUCGGUGCCAUCCAUCUCCGACAGGACCAAGGCACCUCCAGAUAAUACUUUGCGAACCAUGUAGGGUCCUUGCCAAUUUGGCGCGAAUUUCCCUUUGUACUCAUCCUGAUGAGGGAAAAUGCGUUUAAGGAUGAGCUGGCCAAUUUCAAAUAUCCUGGUUCUCACUUUCUUAUGGAAAACACGAAUCAUUCUCUGUCGAUACAGUUGUCCAUGACAAACAGCAACCAUUCUCUUCUCAUCAAUCAAUGUUAACUGAUCGAUCCGCUUGCGAACCCAUUCAGCAUCGUCCAAUUCAGCUUCUUGGAUGAUUCUCAAGGAAGGUAUUUCGACUUCGGCAGGUAUGACUGCCUCUGUUCCAUAUACUAGCAAAUAUGGAGUAGCUCCAACUGAUGUUCUAACAGUCGUUCGAUAACCUAACAAAGCAUACAAUAGCAUCUCAUGCCAACCUAUGCGAUUAUCAAUCAUUUUCCUCAAAAUCUUCUUUAUGUUCUUGUUGGCGGCUUCUACAGCUCCAUUCAUUUGAGGACGAUAGGCGGUUGAGUUUCGGUGAGUAAUCUUGAAUUGUUCACAUAUCUCUCUUAUUAAGUGACUGUUGAGAUUCUCUCCAUUGUCAGUAAUGAUGGAUUCUGGUACUCCAAAUCUACAUAUCAAAUUGUUGCGAACGAAAUCAGCUACAACUUUCUUGGUUACCGAUUUGUACGAAGCUGCUUCCACCCACUUGGUGAAGUAGUCAAUGGCAACCAAAAUGAAUCUGUGUCCGUUAGAGGCGGCUAGCUCUAUUGGACCAAUGACAUCCAUGCCCCAAGCUACAAAUUGCCAAGGUGAACUCAUAGUAUUAAGUUCGUGAGGCGGUACUCGAAUCAAAUCACCAUGCCCUUGACAUUUAUGACACUUCUGCACAAACUUGCAACAAUCAUGCUCCACAGUCAUCCAAAAAUAACCGGCUCGGAGGAUCUUUCUUGCUAAAGUGAGCCCGUUCAUGUGAGUACCACAAACUCCGGCAUGUAUCUGUUCCAGAAGCUUUGCAGCUUCAUUAGCAUUGACGUAUCUGAGAAGACCUAAAUCUGGAGUCCUCCUGUAAAGGAUUUCCCCACUUGCAAAGAAUUGAGGGCCAUACGGCGUAUCGACUUCUUCUGAUUGAACGUUGCAUUCUCAGGAUAAGACCCCGUCUUCUAAAUACUUCUUGAUGUCAAAAUACCAAGGCAGACCAUCUGGUUCCGCUUCAACAUGCGAACAAUGGACAAGCUGCUCUUUUACCUCUAUAUCCAUUGGAUCAAUAUAACUUGUAUCUGGAUGUUUAAUCAUUGAGGCGAUGGUGGCAAGAGCAUCAGCCAACUCAUUCUGUGUCCUGGGAGUGUGCCUGGAUUCAAUCUUGCGAAAUCUCUUGCACAACUUCUGUAUAUACUACACAUACGGUGUUAUCUUUGGAUUCUUCACAGCCCAUUCACCUUGAACUUGAUGAAUUGUAAAUCUGAAUCUCCAAUAACCAACAGCUCGUGAACGUUCAUAUCAAUUGCCAUCUUCAGACCGAUGAUGCAAGCUUCAUACUCAGCCAUGUUGUUUGUGCAAUUAAAUCGGAGUUUAGCCGCCAUAGGAUAAUGCUGACCGGAUUUUGAUACUAAGACCUCUCCGAUACCUUUCCCUUGGUGAUUCGCCGCUCCAUCAAAGAAUACUCUCCAACCAAGGUAGGCUUCAGAAAUAUCUUCACCCAUAAAUGAAACUUCCUCGUCAGGAAAAUAGGUCUUGAGCGGUUCAUACUCCUCAUCAACUGGAUUCUCUGCAAGAUGAUCGGCCAAGGCUUGUGCUUUUAUCGCUUUUUGAGUCACAUACACAUUGUCAAACUCACUCACAAGCAUUUGCCAUUUAGCCAAUUUCUCGGUCGGCAUUGCUUUCUGGAAAAUAUACUUCAACGGGUCCAUCUUGGAAAUAAGGUACGUGGUAUAAGAAGAUAAAUAAUGUCUUAACUUCUGAGCAAUCCAAGUCAAAGCACAACAUGUCCUCUCUAACAGAGUGUAACGAGCCUCAUAUGGAGUGAAUUUUUUGCUCAAGUAAUAGAUGACUUGCUCCUUCUUCCCUGUUUCAUCAUGUUGACCAAGCACGCAUCCCAAUGCGUUAUCUGAGACAGACAAAUAUAGCAAUAAUGGACUCCCUUCUCGCGGAGGGACCAACACCGGCGGAUUGGACAAAUAGGUCUUGAUGGCAUCAAAAACAGUUUGGCAUUCUCCGGUCCAAAGCAGUUUGACAUUCUCCGGUCCACUUGGUCGAGGCAUCUUUUUUCAAUAGCUUAAAAAUGGGUUCACACACCACGGUGGAUUGAGCUAUGAACCGGCUGAUGUAGUUCAACCUUCCUAAGAAACUCAUCACCUCUUUCUUGGUCUUCGGAGGAGGUAAUUCCUGAAUUGCCUUGAUCUUGGAAGGGUCAAGCUCAAUGCCCCUCCUGCUGACUAUAAAUCCCAACAACUUGCCAGCUGGCACCCCAAAAGCACAUUUGGCUGGAUUUAACUUCAAAUUGUAUCGACGCAGACGAUCAAAGAAUUUUCUCAAGUGAGUCAAGUGAUCCGAACUCUCGCGGGACUUGAUUAUGACAUCAUCUACAUACACUUCGAUCUCUUUGUGAAUCAUAUCGUGAAAGAUGGUUGUCAUGGCCCUCAUUUAAGUAGCACCGGCAUUCUUGAGACCAAAAGGCGUCACCCGAUAAUGAUAUACACCCCAAGGCGUGAUGAAAGCUGUCUUUUCUGCAUCAUCUUCAUCUAUCAGGAUCUGGUGGUAACCCGCAUAACAAUCCACAAAUGAUUGCAUCUCAUGCUUAGCGCAGUUCUCAAUGAGGAUGUGAAUGUUUGGCAAUGGAAAAUAUCUUUCGGGCUAGCUUUGUUGAGAUCUCUGUAGUCGACACAAAUUCUAAUCUUUCCGUCUUUCUUGGCAACCGGCACAACAUUGGCUAACCAAGUCGAAUAUUGCGUCACUUCCACUACUUGAGACUCGAUCUGUUUUGUAAUCUCCUCUUUGAUCUACAAACUCAACUCAGGCUUGAACUUCCGAGUCUUUUGUUUACUGGACUGAAAUAUGGAUUGAUCGGCAACUUGUGGGACACCAUAUUCGUGCUCAGCCCUGGCAUGUCUUUAUAAGACCAAGCAAAUACAUCAAUGUACUCUCUGAGCAAACGAACCAGGUCUCUUCUUUGGGCUUCAGUCAGAUGGACACUGAUUCUGACUUCUUUGACACAUUCAUCAUCUCCGAGAUUCACAGUUUCAGUUUCUUCAAGAUUUGGCUUGUGUUGAUUCUCGAAUUGUCGAAACUCCUCAACAACAUGUUCGGGUACCUCAUUUUCUUCUUCAUAUUCCUCACACUCGUCAUCACCUGCCUCAUUUAGUUCACUCCGUUCAUGACAUGACAUGACAUGACAUUGACAGGUUUUAAAUUAAUAUUACUGAAAUCAUAAACAAACAAAGUUAGGAAAGUAAAAUAUAAACAGAUAAGUAAACAAACAAAUUUCGAUAAAAGAGGCUUUUCAUUUAAAUUGAAAGACAAGCACAAACUUUGGCCAUGGCCGAGGGUCAUUUUGCCCUUUUAAAAUCACAAGGGAAUUUAAAAGCUUAGGUUCUUCAUCUCUGCUUCAUCAGCAUCUGUGGGGACAUGUCUCAAACCAAACUUUGCUCCUCUAGCAGGAAUUUGGACAGGCUCGACAAUUCCUUGAAAGUGCUUUCCCAUUCUGAAACCUGGUUCUAAACUGCUCUGGAGCAUGAUAGUAGCAAUCAUCUUGUACACAGAGGGUAUGUGAGGUUGCGGAGCCAAAUUAUCACCGGUGGCAUUUACCAACUCCACCAUGUAAAAAUCGCAACCUCGAGAUACCUCAUCAACGAUUGGCGCAUACCCAUCGGAAUGACUCCCCUCACCAGGAAUGACCAAUUCCUGGUCCUUCAAAACAAAUUUUAUCAGUUGGUGAAGGGUAAAAGGAACAGCCCCAACCAUGUGGAUAAACAGUCUUCCCAUAAGCAAAUUGUCCAACACCUGGAACUCGACGUUGAAUUCUGCAGAACCCACCCGAAUAUGCAAGUUCACCGCACCCAAUGUGUCUCUUUGCACUCCAUCAAAAGCCCUCACAUUUACUUGGUUCUGGUGAAGCUUUCCCAAAUCAAAUUUUAGCUGCCUUAGAGUUGAAAGUUGGCAAAUAUUAAGACCGGAUCUGUCAUCGACCAAGACGCGAUUUAUUAUCUUGUCUCGACACAUAGUGGUGACGUGCAAAGCUUUGUUGUGCAUCUUGCCUUCAAAGGGCAGCUCUUCGUCACAAAAACUAAUUCGAUGUCCUCGGAUGGCUUGGUUAUCAUGGCUGCUAGAUUGUCACUGUUGGUACCCACGGGCACAUAAGUAUCAUCCAGAGCCUUCAUCAACGCUUGCCUAUGCAGUUGUGAACUCAUUAACAAAGCCCAUACAGAAAUCUAAGCUGGUAUCUUCUCCAAAUGCUUUACAAUUGAAUAAUCUUUCGGCUGCAUUUUCCUCCAGAACUCUUCGGCUUCAGCUUCNNNNNNNNNNNNNNNNNNNNNNNNNNNNNNNNNNNNNNNNNNNNNNNNNNNNNNNNNNNNNNNNNNNNNNNNNNNNNNNNNNNNNNNNNNNNNNNNNNNNNNNNNNNNNNNNNNNNNNNNNNNNNNNNNNNNNNNNNNNNNNNNNNNNNNNNNNNNNNNNNNNNNNNNNNNNNNNNNNNNNNNNNNNNNNNNNNNNNNNNNNNNNNNNNNNNNNNNNNNNNNNNNNNNNNNNNNNNNNNNNNNNNNNNNNNNNNNNNNNNNNNNNNNNNNNNNNNNNNNNNNNNNNNNNNNNNNNNNNNNNNNNNNNNNNNNNNNNNNNNNNNNNNNNNNNNNNNNNNNNNNNNNNNNNNNNNNNNNNNNNNNNNNNNNNNNNNNNNNNNNNNNNNNNNNNNNNNNNNNNNNNNNNNNNNNNNNNNNNNNNNNNNNNNNNNNNNNNNNNNNNNNNNNNNNNNNNNNNNNNNNNNNNNNNNNNNNNNNNNNNNNNNNNNNNNNNNNNNNNNNNNNNNNNNNNNNNNNNNNNNNNNNNNNNNNNNNNNNNNNNNNNNNNNNNNNNNNNNNNNNNNNNNNNNNNNNNNNNNNNNNNNNNNNNNNNNNNNNNNNNNNNNNNNNNNNNNNNNNNNNNNNNNNNNNNNNNNNNNNNNNNNNNNNNNNNNNNNNNNNNNNNNNNNNNNNNNNNNNNNNNNNNNNNNNNNNNNNNNNNNNNNNNNNNNNNNNUGGGGUUUGGUACAUUGGGGGAGGUGUUUGGUAAUUUGUCUGAAUGUUGGAACAGUUGGGGGCGGCAUUUCGGUAGUGAUGAGAUGGAGUCUGGUAAACUGGAGGGGGAGUUUAGUAGAUAGUAAGGGGAGUAUUUAAUCUUUCCGGUUCUCAAUCCAUCUUCGAUAGUCUCACCUACCUUAACUAUCUCAGCAAAUUUUGCUCCAACGAGCAACAUAAUUCUGUCAUAAUAUUCGGGCUCUUGCACCCGCACAAACACCUCGACAAUUUCCUUUUCUGACAUAGGAGGUCUAACUCUAGCUGCCUCCUUUCGCCAUCUAUAUGCGAAUUCUCUAUAGCUUUCGGUCGACUUCUGUUUCAUCUUCUUCAAGGAGUAGCGAUCAGGAACGAUCUCCACAUUGUAGGCGAAUCGUUCGAUGAAGUCCUUAGCCAAAGCAUUCCAUCUAGACCACUGUCUCGUUUCAUGAAACGUAAACCAUUCUAGAGCCUCUCCGCUCAGACUUCGGCUAAAAAGCCGCAUUAACAAAGCUUCGUCUCUCCCAACUCCCACGAGUUGGUCACAGUAGUCCCUCAAGUGUGCUAAGGGGUUCCCUGUUCCUCCGAAGAUGUCAUAUUUUGGCACUUUGAACCCUUCCGGGAGGUCCAAAUUCGGAUGAAUGCACAGAUCUUCGUAACUCAACCCAGCGACUUCAGGAAUGCAGUUCAACUCCUUCAUGGCUUUUCUAAUUUCCUCCUUCACAUCUAUCUUGGCGGUCUCUUCCUUUGACCUCCACUCUCUCUCUCUCUCCUCAUAGUGGUCGAGCUCCGAACCAUGGGCGUUAUGCUCGUUGGGGACUGGUAUUUGGAAAGUGCGUUUUUGAGUGACUUGAUAAUUUUGAGGGAAAGUCUGAGGGUUGGUAUGUUGAUUUUGGUGAUGGAGGGAAAUGUGCGGGCGAUUAACAUUUUGGCUAUGAGGGGGUAGGCCAGUUUGGUGGUUCGCAUUGGGGGAAGAGAGUGGUGCUUGGAGGCUGGUAUUUUGAGGAGGGGGUGGUGUUUGAUAAGAGGCUGAGGCGUAAUGAGGGUUUUGGGUGGUAAGGUCAAAAAUGAAGGGAUUACGAGUAGGACUUGAAGGCGGGUUCUGAGCUUGUUCCACGUUAGGAGAGGGAAUUUGAGCUGGAGGUCUUCCGUCUGGUUGGCGUAAUGAGGGUUUUCUCUGCAUCUCGAUCCUCAUCUCAGCAAUUUGUUGCAUCAACUGUAGGAUCAGUUCAUUCUGAUCAGCAAGGGCGGGUUGACCCACCACGACAUCAGUAAGGCUGAUUUCUUCGUUGUUAUCACCCAUUGUUGUUUUCCCUUUUGUGAACUUUGACUGGGGAAGGAAUAUGUAGGACCUUUAGAUCUAGUGAAAUAAGGAUGAUCAGCCAGUGUAUCAACACAGAUCAGUUCUGGAUGAAUAAUGCAAGAUAUCACAUAGAAAACAGAUAAACACAUAAAAGUUGCUUUGUCUGAGAACAUGUUAACCCACGAAUAAUGGGGACUGACUUUUUAACAAGCAGGAAUUUGCUUGUUUUUCUAUUGAGAUUGGUGUCUCAGAAAGUUUAAAUUGCGUUGAACUAAGGCCUUCUUGCUGCAUCUUUUGGCAUCUGUUGAUCUGAACUCAAUGUUUCCAUAUAGAAUGAAAGAGGGGAAAAGGAAAAUUUGAAAAAGAUAGGGGCCGGGCCUUGAAAGGCUGCCUACAUAUCUCCGAAGGAGAAUUCAGGCCCUACGUAGUUCGAAUACAAAAGGAAAUUCUCAUCUUCAUUCAUUCAUUUUGAUUGAUUACAAGGAAAGUGAAAAGAAAACAUGCAAUAAAACUCCUAAAAGAUAGAUGGUGCCUUCACCGAAGCUCCUUCCUCUGACUGCCGUAUUAGCCACGGGGGGUAAACUUAUAUGCUUCGGGGGCGGUUUCCUCAUUCUCUUCUUUCCACCGUCCCUUGAAAUGAGGUCUAUAGACUCUUCAACAGAUUCAGGUCCAGUGCCUUCAGGACCACUGUUGGUGGCCUUUUGGUUGAAGAAAGGGUAUUUUCUAUGUAGUUUUUCAAGCCUCAUGGUUAUAUCAUUGUUGAAAGCAUCAUGUUCCUUCCGCAUAGCAACCGUCUCCUCGUUCAUUACAGCAUAUCUUGCCAUCUUAGCCGCUAACUCCGCGUCCAGUGCUUCACUUUUGGCUUGCGCAGCUGCGGUGGCUAAUUCUACUUCUAUUCCUCUUUCUCCCAUCUCUCGAAUCUCUUGUUUGAGUCGACGCAGUUUCAUCCUUAGACUCUCCUCAAUCGUUUUCACUUCGACAUUCUUGCUCUUUUCCAUUUUAGCAGCAAUUUUACCUUUCCUGAGAUGAUAGAGUAACAUUUUAGGAUUUGGUCGUAGGAUUUUAUUUCUGGCUGAGAAACUCAAGACUCGUGGAAUUUUGGUCGGACAUUUUGGUAGUGACUUGUAUUUGGCAUUUUUCAGAAGUUUUGACAAGGAGUGGGCUAAGAAUGUCCUCAUUCAAAGCAACGUAUCACAUAAACAGUUAAAGCACCCAAGUAAAUAGACAAAUAUCGCGUCCUAAACAUGCAUGUGAGCCUUUUGUGCCAAGGGUAAGCCUAGCGAAUUGAAGGAUGUAUAUGUCUUUUUAAGCCAAUUCAUUAUCCCCAAAAUAUUUCAUUAAUAGCAUUCAAAAAUGUUUAACAAACAUAAAAUUGGGGAGAAGAGUUCGAAAAAUAAAUCACAAGACAAAGUACAAAUAAAGCAAUCCCACGUAGGGGAUGAUAAUAAACUUCAAGCUCAUCUUGAUCCUUCUCCAAGUCUGGUCCUCUUGGCGAUGCCGACCUCUUCCCACAUAGCAUAUUUGUUCGCCCAUAGGUGAUCACUCGCCAACCGAGCCCCUUCUUGAUGUCUGAACCUCUCGACCGACUGAAUCUGCUGCUCCAUGCUAUCAUCUAAUUCUAACAUACAUUGCCUGGAUUUUUGUAGCUCUUGCUUCAACUGAGUUAUGAUUUUAGCGUCUUCUGAGUGUCGACGUUGAUGCUCUAACUCAUUCCUAUCAAACCUUUCUUGGAGUUGAUGAAGUCGGAUUUGAUGCUUGCCUCCAACAUCUGCAAUAAUAUGGGGAACGUUUGGAUGGGGUUCGAUAGUUCCGGCGAGACUCUUCUUUAACCAUUCUUUGUAAUCCUUAGAAUAUUCCGGACGAAACCUAUUUGGCACCGGCUCACCCAAUACCCUUCGAGUCUUCCAUAAGUGAAGCAUCUUUUUAGUAAAAGUGACUUCGCCCUUUUCAUGCUCCGUCACAAAUCUUGUCAUGUCUUUUAUUUGAGGAAGAUCUUGUUUCCCUCCUAGCUGUCUAAGUACUCGAGAAGGAGCAUAUGACCGAGUUCCUCUCAACCCAACAAAUAUUAAGUAGGGGGUCUUUCCACUUAGGAUCACAAUUUGUUUUGUUACUACCAAGCAUUGCAUAGACCACUGCACAUUUUCCUCUCUCAAACCCUGAAGUCUCGGGUACCAAAACUCUUGGCCUCCAGUCCUGUUGAAAUGAUUACGUUGCACCCACCAAUCGUGACUUUCGAGCAUGUUCGGUCUUUCCAAGAUAUCUGGUUCUAUUGGAUCAUGAGCUUUAAUCAAGUGUCUCACCAUCCACCAUUGAAGUAUCAGGUUGCACCCUUGAAAGAAACGUGUACCGCUUUUGCAUCUAUCCAAUGCCCUGUAAAUAUCAGCAAGGAUCAUAGAGGCCAAAUUAUAGUACUUUCUUACAGGCCCAUAGCCUAGUCCAUUAAAAAUAGCAUGGGUAACCAUUACUACACUUGGAUGGAUGGUGUAGUUCGGUCCUUGGGGAAAUACCAUUGUCCCAAGUAGACAUAUCGCAAAAGCGAGGGGGUGUGUUUCCUUCCAUUUUUCUUCCGAAACAAACUCUUCUUUGAACUUCUCGUAAGCUCUUGCAUGUCCAAAUUGAUAAUACAACUUCCGAAGUGGAAUAUUUGACCCGGGCAGCCUGUCCAUCCAUUCAGCUUUGACGAGUGACAAUUUUUCUUUGAUUUCGGCAAAAUCCCAUACUUUUGGAAAGAGAAGAUCAGUAUCGGGUUGGUGUUUCCUCUUGUUGCACAUGCCGACGCUCUCGUAACUUGCAAGAACUUCAUCUAUAGUCGGGGUCAACUCUACUUCCCCAAACCGAAAUACCAUGUUGUUGUUGUCCCAAAAUUUUACCAUCGUUCCAAUCAAGUCCGGGUAAGCCACCAUUUCCAUUAAUGACGGUAGAUGGCCUAUAUGUCUUUGCACUUUCUUUUUAUCUUCCUUGUUAAUGAAUUUCCAUCAAACUUGGAGGUAAGGAUCAGGUAUAGUCACCAUUCGGGUUCUCAACGACUCAAACGUCAGAUUCAUCCUACAAGAAAAACAAAUAAAGGUAAGUUUAACCCCCACCCCCACUUGAUAAUUGAUUUGUUUAAAAAUGGCAUAUACAUCCUUCAAUUAAAACACAUAAGUAUGAUUGUUUUUUUAUUAGCAAAUGGGCCAAAUAGACACAAUGUGGGCUUCUAAUGGGCCCAACACGCCUUGAGUGUUGGGUUGACCUAGUUCAAAAAUGCGCUAAAAAAUUGGGAUUUGGUUUCGCUCUACGCUAGUUGACUAAGAGUGGCUUUGAAAGACCGGAAACCCAAGUGGACAACUUAGGCUGAAAUUCACGACAACCAUUGGACGCAUGACGUACCAAUAAAUUGUCGAUCCUUCCGAAAAAGGGUUGAGUAUAAAAAGUCCGACUGCGAUUAUUGCAGAAACCAUCCUUAAUAUACUAUACAUAUAAUAGGAAGAUGUCAUGAAUACAAUGACAGUUAACAAAUUAAACACGUUGAGAGCGGAUAAACAGUUUAGCAAUUAAUACAAUUAGUCAAAUAAGUCAAAUCUUAUGGUUAGAACUUAAUUAAGUCCCCAGCAGAGUCGUCAUUUCUGUUCUACUUAAAAAGAUAUAUACAAGGAAAAUGACUGAGUUUUCAAAAAAUCGAUUAAACUUAUAGUUUAAGAGAAAUCGAAUUUCAAAAAGAACAGAGUCGCCACUUAUUUUUUUUAGUAAAAAUCAAGAAAAAACCUAAGGCUUUCAAAAUAUUUAAACAGAUAAAAUCAAUUGAAAAAGGGUUCGAGUUAAAAUGUACAUUCCGAGAAGGUGUUAGGCCCUCGGAAUGCCCGCUAACUUGCGGUUGAUCGACGAUUUGACCAAAAUGAUUUUGACUAAUUUUAAAAUUUAACUUAAGUAAAAUAAUUCAUUUAUUUUAACUAAUAUUUUUGUUUUUAAAAAAAAAUUUAACUAAGUAAAGAACUCACGACUUUGACUAAUUUUGAAAGUUUAAUGAAGUAAAAGAACUCAUUUGUUUUAACUAGUUAUUUUAAAAAUUUAACUAAGUAAACAAACUCAUUUAUUUUAACUCAUUUAUUUAUUACAAUUAUUAUUUUUUAUCAUUUUUAUUAAUAUUAAGGCGGAAUGAACUAAAGGGGGAUUCUCUAAAGGGGAAUAGUUCAUGAAAUGUCAACAAGACUAAUAUUAAAAUAAAAACUAAGUAAUAAAAUAUAUACUUUGAUUUGAAAAUAAAAUGAAAUGACCAUUCUUGGGGAAUUUAAUUAAAUUAAACCAUAAGUUAACCAAAACAUUAGUUAAAUACAACAAAAUAAAGAAGAGAAAGGAGAGGAGUACUGAACUUGGGGCCAAAGGCCCAAAUUCCCAAUCUUAAUAACAUGUCCUAAAUCUAAAGUUGCCAAAUAAUGGGUUAGCCCAUUUAAAUCCAAAAGCUGCUGGUACUCAUUAUAUUGGGCCUUUGGGCCCAUUUUUCGCCACCUGGAUCUGCUGGCACAAAGAGAUUGAGCUUUGGCCCGUUUGUAUUUUGAAAGCAUGUAUACACGUGCGCAUAUUGAGUAUACGAACGUAUACGGUCCAUUUAUGGACUUUCUCGUAUCUGUAAUUAAUUCUCGUCCCUGUAUUUUCUCCCUUUUCACUUCGAAGAAGAUGAUGCUUUUGAAGAGAUUCGACUCGAUGCGAAGAUGGAGUCCAAUGGACUCGGGUGGUGUCACAUGAAGUAAAAUAAAAUAAAUUAGUGAGGAGGCCAUGUUUAGAUGAAAUAAAUAUAUUUGAUGCAGGCCAUAUUUUGGUAAAUUAAUUAUUAGAAAACCUAUUCAAAACACCUAGUUGGAGAAAAGGCUGUCAAUAGCUUAUCUCAAGCCGACAACAAUUUAAUUUGAAAGCAAUAAAACACAUACAUAUGAAGAAUUGAUCUUAAUCCUACGACAGUAAGCAAAAGUAUGUGUCAUAGUGUAGAUAAAUGUGUCAUAAAGGUAGGUAUGGUGUGGGUAUGGUGUGUCAUAUUAUAUUUGACAAGUGUAGUAUUUGUAAAGGAAGUAGGAUGGGUAGUACGUAAGAUGCAAUUAAGUCACUACAGGAGCUUAAGUAUUUUAACAAAAAAAUAAUAAUAAUAAAUAAAUAAAUAAAUAAAAUAAAAUAAAAUAAAAAAUCAAACAAAGCAUAGCCUAGAUGAAGUGAGUCUACCAGAAAGGAACCAAUUCUUGCAAUAGUGAAGUAGAAGUAAUCCAAUGGGAUGCUCGACUCAAAACGAAUAAUAAAGAGAAAAUGAGCAAAUCAAUUUUCAUACUACCAGCUAGCUAUCGUACUGAGAGCAAAAUCCACAAAUAUAAAGAGUCAUUCGAUACACAAUGAUGAGAAUGUCCUUACUGAGAGCAAAAGCCACAAAUAUAAAGAGUCAUUCGAUACACAUUGAUGAGAAUGUCCGAACACAUGAAUACGGUUGAGAAUAGACACAUGACAACUUCAAAAAAAAAUAAAAAAAUAAAACUACCAUAAAAAAAUCUCGUAGAGCUAACACAAAUAAACAAGUGCUAAGACCUCAAACAAAGCUUGAUCACACUAUAAUAUAAAGGAGAAGCUAAAUUCAAGGGAAGGGAGAAAACAAGCUACCUAAAUACCCAUUCCUGGAGUUCUAAACAGAGGCUUAAACUAGCAAACUAACAAAUCUUUCGAUCUGCCAUAACCAAGGAAUUCCAAUGCUUUCUUAACUCAUGAGUCGAAAUAAUGGCGAAAUAAGAAAAUUCCAACAAUGAGAAUAUGAACUCGGGAGGAGGGAAACAUCAAACUUUCAACGAAAAUGGAAACAAACAACAACAACAUGGACUAGUGAACAAGAUUCAUCACUGAUUUGCAGGUAACAACGAGUCAAAAAUGAUCCCAGACAAUAACGUGUACUCAACUUCGCAUAGCCAAAACUCCAACAACAACACAUUAAGAGUAAAAAGAAGUUUGAACCGAAAAAUGAGUAUUACCUGUCGAGAUGUAGCGAAAUGGGACAGCUAACGAGCUCAAUUUUGACUUCCACCACACGAACCCAAAGCUCGAACAACACACCAAGAAAACCCAAAGGAAACCCGAAUAAUAAACUCUCCGAAACUCUUGAACUAGAGAGUCUUUCAAGAACUUUUCCGAAUGUAAAAUUGACUAUUCCCAAACCUUGGUAAGCUAUAUUUCGUGGGCAAUUUCUGGCCAACC
rnacentral:lncRNA from 1 species